GACGUAGGGGGCGAGCGUUGUCCGGAUUUAUUGGGCGUAAAGCGUGCGUAGGCGGCUGCGCAAGUCGGUUGUGAAACCCCGGGGCUCAACCCCGGAACUGCAUCCGAUACUGCGUGGCUAGAGGUAGGUAGGGGAGAUCGGAAUUCCUGGUGUAGCGGUGAAAUGCGCAGAUAUCAGGAGGAACACCGGUGGCGAAGGCGGUUCUCUGGGCAUUACCUGACGCUGAGGAGCGAAAGCGUGGGGAGCAAACAGG
rnacentral:rRNA from 1 species